GAAAUGCGAUAAGUAGUGUGAAUUGCAGAAUUCAGUGAAUCAUCGAAUCUUUGAACGCACAUUGCGCCCCUUGGUAUUCCAUGGGGCAUGCCUGUUCGAGCGUCAUUUGUACCCUCAAGCUCUGCUUGGUGUUGGGUGUUUGUCCCGGUCUCCGCGCGUGGACUCGCCCCAAAGUGAUUGGCAGCCGGCGUACUGGUCCCGGAGCGCAGCACAUGUCGCGCAAACGAGUGCCUUGGUACGGCGGCGUCCAUAAGCCCCUCUCUCACGCUCUUGACCUCGGAUCAGGUAGGGAUACCCGCUAAACUUAAGC
rnacentral:misc_RNA from 1 species